rnacentral:rRNA from 1 species
UACGGAGGGGGCUAGCGUUGUUCGGAAUUACUGGGCGUAAAGCGCACGUAGGCGGCUUUGUAAGUUAGAGGUGAAAGCCCGGGGCUCAACUCCGGAAUUGCCUUUAAGACUGCAUCGCUAGAAUUGUGGAGAGGUAAGUGGAAUUCCGAGUGUAGAGGUGAAAUUCGUAGAUAUUCGGAAGAACACCAGUGGCGAAGGCGACUUACUGGACACAUAUUGACGCUGAGGCGCGAAAGCCAGGGGAGCAAACGGG